GGAAGCCUGGGUUUCUUCCAGGGGGCAGGCGCCGAGGCGGGAGUUGCGCGCGACGCGCCUACCGUGCCUCAGUUUCCCUAGUCCGGGACGCGGAAGCGCGGGUGACUGCGUUGAGUGCUCCCGGACUCGCGGAAGUCUGCAAGUGUAGGGUAGAGAAGUUGCCUUUCUGGUGAUGCAGAUUGUUGCUCUCGAGCGCGGUGGACGCCGUCUCCGGGCCAGAUUCCCAGCCUGCCAUUUCUUCUCUUCCCUUUCACUUUUAUAAAAGUUCACAGCUCUCACUCAAGUCGAAAUCUGUCUUACGGUUGGGAAAGGAAAACCUUUAGCUUAGCAAAGAAGGAUAAUUACAGAGUUCGUAAUAAACCUGCCCUGCUAGCAAGGUC
rnacentral:lncRNA from 1 species